rnacentral:rRNA from 1 species
CUCACGACUCUCGGCAACGGAUAUCUCGGCUCUCGCAUCGAUGAAGAACGUAGCAAAAUGCGAUACCUGGUGUGAAUUGCAGAAUCCCGCGAACCAUCGAGUUUUUGAACGCAAGUUGCGCCCAAGGCCUUCUGGCUGAGGGCACGCCUGCCUGGGCGUCACGC